AUGGUUGGCCACAUCCCAGCAGCGUGUGGGAGCCGUUGUUUUCAGCCAGAGUUGGGUCUCCUUGCCAUUCAUCACCAGCCUGUCUGCAGAAAGACGAAGGCGAUGAAGAGGAUACAUGAGCAGUCAAGUCAGCGUGAGGUGGAGAAGAUGUGGUGUUUCUGUCGGCGGCGCUGGGCCAGCAACAUCAGACAGUGGACUACGGGGAGCUGCCAUGGGUGGUGGCUACAGUUUCCACGAGAGUGGGGUGGGGGUGGCACACGUGGGGGCGACGGCAGCAAGUGGAUCCGCACCGCUGAGGUGCACAACAACUCCGAGAAGCCACAACAGCAGAGGAGUGGGAUCGGUGAGAAGAUUAAGGUGUUGCAGACCCUGUACUCAAUUCCAACAAGAUUAACAAGGCAUCUAUGCUUGACAAGGCCAUUGAGUAUGAGAAGCAGCUGUAUCUGGAAGUACAAGGUAGUAAGCAUGCCUGGAUGCAUGGUUGGAUGA
rnacentral:rRNA from 1 species